rnacentral:rRNA from 1 species
CCUACGGGUGGCAGCAGUGAGGAAUAUUGGUCAAUGGUCGGGAGACUGAACCAGCCAAGCCGCGUGAAGGAUGAAUGUACUACGGAUUGUAAACCUCUUUUAUCAAGGAACAAAGUCAGGCACGUGUGCCUGUUUGUAUGUACUUUAUGAAUAAGCAUCGGCUAACUCCGUGCCAGCAGCCGCGGUAAUACGGAGGAUGCGAGCGUUAUCCGGAUUUAUUGGGUUUAAAGGGUGCGUAGGGGGAUUGCUCAGUCAGUGGUAAAAUCGCGGGGCUCACCCUAACUCCGCAGUUGAAACUGGCAGUCGUGAGUGGGGGAGAGGUAGGCGGAAUGCGUGGUGUAGCGGUGAAAUGCUUAGAUAUCACGCAGAACUCCGAUUGCGAAGGCAGCAUACCGGCGCCCCACUGACGCUGAUGCACGAAAGCGUGGGUAUCGAACAGGAUUAGAUACCCUGGUAGUC